GUGCUCGCUUCGGCAGCACAUGUACUAAAAUUGGAACAAUGCAGAGAAGAUUAGUGUGGCCCCUACACAAGAGGGACAUGCAAAUUUGUGAAGCAUUCCAUGUUUUU